AGGUGGGCUAGACUGGGGGGUUAGGGGCCUCCUGUAACCUGAAGUCCUCUAUACAGGGGUCGAAUCUGAGGGGCGAUUCGGUUUGAUUGGGAGACGAUGGGUUAUCCUCUGCGUCGAUCCCUCGUCCUCUGGGGUCGUAUUUGGUUCGAAUCUGGUCAGGUCCUGACGGAAGCAGCCAUAAGGAUUAAGUGCGCCGCUCAGCGGGUCGCGAGGGGGAGUAUGUUAAUUCACCUAUCCUAUUCAUCCGUCUCCACCCGAUGGCGCCCACCA
rnacentral:SRP_RNA from 1 species